ACGCGGGUCGAGCUUAGGGUGCACCCCCAACCCGCUCCUCGCCGACCGCAGAGGACUAGGUCUUUCUCAUCAGCCCGACUAUGCGCCUAGUUUAAGGAUUUCUCAGCGGGAAGCCGAAGCGACCUGCGCGCGUCCUGCGUGGGGCUCAGGUGCCUGCGACGAGGCGCAGAGCUCCUCCACCAUGGUUGCGUGGGGUGCUGGGGGACAGACGCGCUCCCCUUGCCACGGUUUCAGGGUCGUUCCCCAGCGGACCAGACCAGCGCGGCAUCCUGUUUGUUUUCUGCUCCGGCUGCUCCUGUCCCACCCCCACCCCCACCGCAGGCUGCUUCUUGCUACCCCCACCUCCCGCCCUGGGAUAUCGUAGGAUGUCCAUGAGGAGCCCCAUCUCUGCCCAGCUGGCCCUGGAUGGCGUUGGCACCAUGGUGAACUGCACCAUCAAGUCAGAGGAGAAGAAAGAGCCUUGCCACGAGGCCCCCCAGGGCUCAGCCACUGCCGCUGAACCUCAGCCUGGAGACCCAGCCCGGGCCUCCCAGGAUAG
rnacentral:lncRNA from 1 species